rnacentral:rRNA from 1 species
UACGUAGGGUGCAAGCGUUGUCCGGAAUUAUUGGGCGUAAAGAGCUCGUAGGCGGUCUGUCGCGUCUGCUGUGAAACUCAGGGCUUAACCCUGAGCUUGCAGUGGGUACGGGCAGACUAGAGUGCAGUAGGGGAGACUGGAAUUCCUGGUGUAGCGGUGAAAUGCGCAGAUAGUCAGGAGGAACACCGGUGGCGAAGGCAGAUCUCUGGGCCGUAACUGACGCUGAGGAGCGAAAGCAUGGGGAGCGAACAGG